rnacentral:rRNA from 1 species
AGGACGAACGCUGGCGGCGUGCCUAACACAUGCAAGUCGAACGAGGUCCAUGCAGUGGCAACACUGCGGAAGGCCUAGUGGCGAACGGGUGAGUAACACGUGAGGAACUUGCCCCGGAGACCGGGAUAACUCUCCGAAAGGAGAGCUAAUACCGGAUGUCCUCAUCGAGUCGCAUGGCUUGAUGAGGAAAUGGAUUCCGCUCCGGGAGAGCCUCGCGGCCUAUCAGCUAGUUGGUGGGGUAAACGGCCCACCAAGGCAUCGACGGGUAGCUGGUCUGAGAGGACGAUCGGCCACACUGGGACUGAGACACGGCCCAGACUCUACGGGAGGCAGCAGUGGGGAAUCUUGCGCAAAUGGGCGAAAAGCCUGACGCAGCAACGCCGCGUGCGGAUGACGGCCUUCGGUUGUAAACCGACUUCAGUGGGACGAACCGAAGAACGGUACCGACAACGAAAGAAGACCCGGACCAACCAACGUACGCCGAACGCCAACGCCGAC